UCUCUCCCUGUGAUGCCUGCCCAGUGACGCCCACCUUCUCAUGGGAUAGCGGUGAAGUCGGGGCCUGCCUGUCGGGGAGGAUAGGAGACCUCAAGAGGGAGAGAAUUGCUGGUCAUGGCCAAUCAUAGAUUUAUCCUCUAUCUUUAGGAAUGAAGGGACGCUAGGCUGCCAGGCCGAGGGAGAUGGGCGCAGCCAAGUGCAGCCUGCCAGCCAGCCCUACCAGGUUGCCAGCAGGUGAGUGAAGCCAUCCCAGAGCCUCCAGCCCAGUCCAGCCACCAAGUGACUACCACUGAGGGACACUGCUCAAGAAUCUUGGAGCUCAAGAAUUACCCCACCAAUUUCUGUCUGAAUUCCUCACCCACAAAAACUUUACAUGUAAUAAAAGUAUGAGCUUAGA